GAUGAACGCUGGCGGCGUGCCUAAUACAUGCAAGUCGAGCGAACAGACGAGGAGCUUGCUCCUCUGACGUUAGCGGCGGACGGGUGAGUAACACGUGGAUAACCUACCUAUAAGACUGGGAUAACUUCGGGAAACCGGAGCUAAUACCGGAUAAUAUAUUGAACCGCAUGGGUCAAUAGUGAAAGACGGUUUUGCUGUCACUUCUAGAUGGAUCCGCGCCGCAUUAGCUAGUUGGUAAGGUAACGGCUUACCAAGGCGACGAUGCGUAGCCGACCUGAGAGGCGGAUCGGCCACCCUGGAACUGAGACACGGUCCAGACUCCUACGGGAGGCAGCAGUAGGGAAUCUUCCGCAAUGGGCGAAAGCCUGACGGAGCAACGCCGCGUGAGUGAUGACGGUCUUCGGAUCGUAAAACUCUGUUAUUAGGGAAGAACAAAUGUGUAAGUAACUAUGCACGUCUUGACGGUACCUAAUCAGAAAGCCACGGCUAACUACGUG
rnacentral:rRNA from 1 species